UAUAUAUAUGCCGUUCAAAGGAUUUCCAAGGAAUCGGACCAAGUUGAUGAUCAGUUUCAUACUAAUACUUUGAUGCAUGGUAUGUGUGGUAGUCGUUCAAGAUGCAUGCCAUAUCUAGCUUCAAUUAACUGAAAACAUCCUUGUUUCGCAGAUUUUGGCAAGUACAGAUGAUAAAGAUUCAUGAUUUGGCUGCGCGCAUGCUUGCUGGCUGGAGGUACUUGCAGCUAUAAAGAAUCAUGAUUUGGCACUUACUAAAAUACCGCGUCUACAUGUUUUAUGAUUGACGCUGCGCUAUAACUGUAGGAGUUUGAUUCAUUACUUAAUGGCCUCAAAAUGGAUACAGGAUCUGUUGGAAUCAAGAAGGCGUUAAGGUAGCCCACUUGAUCUACUUUAGCUCCAUGCUUUAUUAAUGGCCAGCUUACUUACUUUGAUAUACAACACUUAUGUUGAUUGACAUCAACUCCACGAUUCAACUAGCAUAGUGAUGUGAAAUAUUCAUGCAGUGUGUCGAAACUGUUCCAAAAAAUCAAAUAAAUGGACCUGCGUCGAAAGGGUAGCGCUGCUACUUGGUUAAGUCAAACAUUAAUGUCGAUGCACAUGUCAAAACUGUAGGAUUGCAAUUUAUAUUUUGUUGGAAGAUGGCAGACUUUCUUUUUUCUACACAAGGGCUAUCAAGGCUGCUGUGUACUAUAGCACCUGUACUUUUCCUCAUUCAAGUAGAUUGAACCUGAUGCAUUUCUAUGCAAGGGAAUUUAAAUUAUGUCUGAUCUGUACCAGGACGACGUCAAAAGCAAAAGGAACUAAGGAAGGGUUCUCGAGGUCUGCUCCUUCUCCACCGGUAGAGAGGAGCCUCCUUCUCAUGAUUCGCCUGUCUGCCCGGGCCCUCCCCGGCUAAAGCUGACGCCAUGGAAGGCCCCUUACCCCUCUUCCUCCUCUCUUCUGUUCCCUCUUUGUUAUAGGCGCAGUCAAUUUUUUUUGUUCUUUCUCUCUUUCCAAUUUAAACAUGAGCAUGCCCGUGCUCUCUUUUUGGUUGUGGUAGCUGUCAUAUCAUGUUGCAAUUUAGUUACAUUUUUUGGUCCCAUGUAUAUCCAAAUCAAAAAACACUUGUGGUGUGGUACAGUUAUAUUGCAAGUCGAAAAAUAUUAUAUGUGUUAACAUCGGAUGGUCCAAGUUGAAAUUCAGUUUGUAUUAUUCAAUAUGCAUUCUAACAAACAUGUUCUGUUUGGCAUCAUACUAUCAUUCAACUUAAAAGAUGC
rnacentral:lncRNA from 1 species